GGUCAUGGCUCAGUGGUAGGACAUCAGCUUUGUAUGCAGGAGAUUCCAGGUUCAAACCCCAGCAUCUCCA